rnacentral:lncRNA from 1 species
UUUCUUAAAGUUCAGUGGUCAAAACUCAAAAUUUUAAAUUUCAUUGAGCAAUCGAAGACAUGGACCGAAGUUUAGUGACCAAAACUCGAUAUUUUAAACUUGAGUAGCCAAUCCAAAACAUGAACCUAAAUUCAGUCACCACUGGAACAAUUAACUCAAAGAUUGAAUACGUUGCUGAUGUAGACAUGGCAACCCUACAAGUAUUGUUCUUGGUACCACAUAAAGAAUGUUACUUUGAAACAUACACCGGUAGCACCGUUCUAUUUGGGACCUUGAAGUUGUGAAUCAUAGCGGUGUUCUUACAAAUAUAAAUGUUUCUACUUUGUAACCUGAUCAUUUGUUUGUAACCCUAUCAUUUGUGAUGAAACUUGUCGCUUUGCAUUUUUUGCCUCACUGAAUAUAUUAC